GCUACUUCUAAAUAACACCUGCUACUCAAGUUGCCUUAGAAAGCUGACGGCACCUGUUUCAUCUACCUCUCCACAUGACAGCUGACAGGGGCCUGGAUUUGAUAGUGGAUUUGAAAGUGGUUCAUUCUUCUAAAACCAUCUUGGCAAGAAUACAGCCUAUAGUCUAGCAAGUAGUCCUUUAUUUUCAGGUGGAAUUUUCAGUUUUGAUUCUGGUUUGCUCUCAAGUCAGUCCAUCAAACAUUCCCCCUGUGAAACUGCUCCAAUGUCGUAUGCAAUCCUAAUCCUUCUGGGCCUCCUACUUCAGCUUCCCACAUGCUCUGCUACCAGUAAAGGGGAAUGGGAGUUGGCGUGGCAUACAGAUGAAAAAUAGACCUUGAUCAGAGACAGAUAUGUUGAAAUGGAAAGGGAGAAAAGGUCUGUUUAUUUGUCUUUACAAACAUUGCUUGCGGGACUGCUCUUCUUCCGCUCUGUGUAUGCAGGUCUCAUUAGGAGAAUUUUGCAGCAGGGAAGGAAGGUAAUUGCAUAAAUUUCAGUUUUCCAGGAACAGACUCUCAGCUCUAAUGGAAUCAUGGUUUCGAUGCACUUUCCUCAGCUUUCUGACUCAAUGAGAAAAAGCAGUGACUAGACUGGAGUGUUUGGCAUCACCGGCACAUCACUCAUGAGCCACAGAACUGCUCUUUGUACCCAAAUCAUAUUGCUUGCCCUUCUUGGAAUCUGCCAUUUCUUCCUUCUUUAGAGGAGACAGUCUGUACUUCCACACUGCUACUGUUAUUACAGGUUUGCAGUGUCCGUCUGAAUGAUAUUUGUGGGUACCUUCCAGCUAUGCCUUGAGGCUUCCCUGGAAACCUGAUGUGGAGGCAAGAUCUGUUAGAGUCUAUUAAUGAUGUGUGCUCUUCCAUCCAGUGCUGACAUUAUACAGCAUUGGGUCUAGCAUAGAGCAAAACAGCCUUCUGUGUUUCCAGCUUCCAGAAUCAGCCAAAACUUAACGAACAGAAAGCUCCCCUUGGCCUAUUGUUCCACAUCCUAGAUGGGAAAAGGCCCACCAAUUUGUCUCAACAGAACUCAUUCUCUAAUAACUGGUAUCUAUAAAUUUUACAUAAUACACAACUGUGUAUUGUACAUCAUAUUAUAUACCAUACGACUAUUAAUUACGUAUUAUCAACCUAUUUAUUUGAUUUAAGAAUGUUAUAUCUAUCUCAUGCAUUAUUGUAAGCAUUCAUGAAUAUCCACUAAUCACUACCCUCCAUAAUCUUACAUUCAUAACAACAACAAUAAUAAUUAAUAUUAUUUAUUUAUACCCUGCCCAUCUGGCUGGGUUUCCACUGAUGAGCCAUAAUACAAUGCUUUCCACCAGAGAACUACAAGUGAAAAACCUGAAACUCAAAGGGUGUCCCAUAUCGACCUAGAGGAGAGCGUCCUAUAAUCAAUACCCCCUGUUCCACCCAGCCCCCACUAGCACCACAUCAGCCUAUAUACUGCCAUUGACAGUCUACCCCAUAAGGACACAAUAGUAGACACAAUAGCCCCACUGCUAAUACGUCAGGUCAAGGUGUAGCAAAUGUGAGGGAAGAGAUUGGCUACAUUUUUAAUUAUAAAAAACACGAAAAGCACUAUGAAACCCUGCAUGAAGGCAAAUUUAGUAGUAAAAUAGAUAAAGAGUAUCUCUUUUAACAAUGCUCUGGGAUGCAUGCGCACCACUCGUCACCCUCCUCAACAACCAAAUUCAACCUUUAUAAACUAAAAGUAGUAAAACAGAGGAGGUAAGUUGUAACAUGGUAAGCGUACCAAAAGGUGUGCUUGGACUAACAAAAAGUAGCUUAUUUAAAGCACCCAGCUUACAACUAGGAGAUGUCGCACAACCACAACUUUUUUGAGCCCCAAAAUAAGCCGACUAAACCCCUACAAAAUCACCUAACUAUACAUUAAACCAAACCAUUUACCUAGGUUAGUAAAGUAAAUGAGAUUAAGCACCACCACCCAGCCUUAUAAGUGCCGCAAUGGAGCAAUGAAAGAAUAAUGAAAAACUUUAAGCAACACGUAGCAAAGAUAAACCGCUGUACCUCCUGCAUCAUGGUCUAGCAAAACACUAUCAGACAAAGAGAACCUUUAGCCUGACCUCCCGAAACCAAGCGAGCUAUUUUUAGGCAGCACUAAAUCAGAGUGCACCCGUCCCUGUAGCAAAAGGGUGGGAAGGCCUAUAAAGAGGGGUAAAAAACCAAUCGAGUUUGGUGAUAGCUGGCUACUCAACAAAAGAAUUUAAGUUCAACUUUAGGCAUAACAUGAACCCACCACUAAAAUUCCAUUUCUAAACCUAAAGAGAAUUAAUGGGGGUACAGCCCCAUUGAAGCAGAAUACAGCCCGAACGGAGACCCUUUUACCCCGUUCCCCUACCAUAGGCUUCUAAGCAGCCACCAAAAUAAACCACGUCAUAGCUGAACCAAAGCAAAUCCCAACAAUCCAACCACCCUCCCAACCCAUACCUUGAGUUAUUCUAUAAUAAUAUAGAAGCACCAAUGCUAAAACUAGUACAUUGAAACAACUCUAUUCGCACUCCUUUAAAUCAGAAUAGAAAAAAAUGCAUUGACAGUCAUUUAUUAUCUUCCCAAGGCAUCACAGUAGCUGCUCAUAUACAGUGAAGUAAAUUUGUGGUGUAAAAUCAUCCUAUAGAAUAAGACAUGGCUGUUUUUAUUACACACACACCUGCUGUAAAAUCACUGCCACUAUAGCCUCAAGAAUUGACAUCUUUGGUUUGAUUAGGAUCCUAGAUGGCUGGCUCAUGGCAGAUUGUCUUGCUAAAUGGAGACAAUCUUUGCACUCUGAUCUUUUUCAGAGCAUCCCUAUGCCCACCUAUUCAGAAUUCAGUGGGACUUAACAGAUAAAUGAAAUAACUUAACAGAUAAAAGAAAUUGAAUUGCACUCUUAAAAUAGUUUAAAUGCACAUCAGCAUAAAGGAAAAAGCAACCUUUUGGAGCUGGUUGCUCCUGUUAGUAAUGUGGGUUUUUGAUGCCUAAUGAAAUGAAUGACUUGUAAGGCAAGCCUGCCAGUUGCCUUUAUAAUUUUGGAAAUAAUAAAUAAAGGAUCUACCCAUGGCAAUUUAAACUUGAUGUGAGUAAUGAACUCAAACUUUAAGGUCAGCGGCUGAGGGAUGUGGGGUAGGGAUUUAGCAUCACUUGUUUCUAUUUUAAAGGUUAUUUCAAGUUUUUCCCCCUCCCUAAGGGAAAGAAACGCAGAGAAGCUGGUCCUGUCUGGAACAUCAGGAGUGAGACAUUUGUACAUACGGACUGUCAGUAUAAUUGUCAAGCUAAAUGAAGCUGUCCCUGGACUCUGACAGUCUUGUUAGAAUGGGCUCCAGAAAAGCACCAUGAGCAGACAGCCUGGUGAAAUAAAUAUGAACAGGGAAUGGAUACUGGGUGAGAGUUGUUUCUAAAUAGGCUUUGGCUGUAAAUAAUAUGUGCAGAAUGGCUUACCCCUUUCCCAGGUGGGCGGCAGUUGUGGCCCCUCAUGUUUGGCAACCGUU